ACAUACAUUAUUUUUUCAUUUUACUUUGUGCUACCACGGUUUCCAUUUGCUUAUGGCUGUUGGUUGUGAGGUCUAGUGCUUUCUUAAAAUAUACUACUGCUUUGCACAUUGUGGGCCUGGGAGCUCCGGGUGCCAAAUAAAGAUUAGGACUAACACACCUUCAGUGUUUGAGUGAUGUGGGUUCCCGGUGAGCACCUACAUGCUGCUUACCUAGUACAGGCUGUGCAGCCAAGACAGCCCUGUGUGGCCCAGAAGACCAAACAUUUCAUGUGAACCUUUCCCCUUCAGGGUGAUAAAGAUCAGGUCGCUUGUCCCCAGUCCUUGUUACCUCCAUGUUAUUGAUUCACUUCCCAGUUGCCAUAUUCGAGGUAAGCCUCCAUAGCUUUAUCUUUGCUUUCAUGUCAACAAUGCAUGUCUGCAUCCUUGGACUGGCUUCAAGGGUUUCUGGCAAAAAAUUUGCAGUCUGUUAAUAGACUUGGGCACAAAUAGGACCUAACCAAGUGUGAAGGGAAUAAUGAAUUCAGACUGAGGCAUUUGGGAGAGACUGUUGGGGAAGUUCAUCCAGUGCAGGGCCUUGUCUUGUUGGGUGGCUCAGAUAUAUUAAUAUGACCCUUAUCCAAAUUAACAAUGUUACGCAUUUGCCCCUAAACUCCAGGUGCAUCAUUGAGAAGGGAAGGAAUUUGCUUUGCUUUGGAGGCACAUUAUUUCCUCAGGGUUCUCAUUUGGAUUGCCUUGGAGGUUGGUGUGAUGCCACAAUGUGCAGAGAGGCUGAGGACAGGGAGGGCAGGUGGGCUUCACUUUCCAGCCAGCUCUGAUUUCUGGGGAGUGGUAGUCUAUUCAGGGGGCUCCGAGGCCCUGUUUGGGUGGAUUGGGAAGAGUGUGCAGUUCCUUAGUGAUGUCUAUCAUAGGCACAGUGGGGAACUAGCAACAUUCAUGCUAGGUAUUUGCCAGCCUUGACAUAAUAAAACAGAUGUCACUGACUCCUGCCUCUUUGUCCAGCAGUGGUCAGCACUGCUUGGUCAGGCUGCAGGGCAUAGAUGGGUUGCAUCCUGAGUGAGAAAAUGCAUUUCCAGAUAUGUUUUUGUCUCUUCUUGCUGGCAGGACUAGGGUUAGUGUUUAUCAUUUGACUUAAACUCAUUCCCCCAAGUUCUUACUCUAUUUUCAUGUAUCGGCAGUUACUAUUUAAGUUGCUGCCCUCGCAGACUACAGUGAGGGCAACGAGCACAGACGAGAGCAAAGCUUCCCCACCCACAGACUGAUUAUGCAGUGUCACUGGGAGCCCCUAACACUGGAGACGCUGACUUAGGAAGUGUAGCGUGGGGUCACCGGGCAGGACUUUUAAAAAAUGUUCCCAGAUGGCUCUGAUCACUGUCAGGUUUGGGAGCUAGGGAUGGAAAUAAGUCAGUCUUAUGUAUUUCUCUUUUUUGGGGCUGCAGCUUUUGGCUGAUGCAGUUUGUAUAUCAGUUUCUCAAAAAUCCUCUUUUAUGUGCCCUGCACAGUUGUAUGUACACAGGGGAGGGCCUGGCAGGGAGCCUUAGCUAAAUGCUGUAUGUCAUAGAUCAUCUGGUUCUUGUGGGGUGUGUGUGUCAGAAUCACAUGGGAAACACCUUCAGAGGGUAGGGGCCUGGGCUCAGCGUGGGGAGUCUGAGGCAGCAGGUGCAGAGUGGGAGGAGCUGGGCACUGCACUUGUGCUUUGGCUGAGCUCCCGCUGACUCUGAGGGGAGCUUGGUGACAUUCUUCAUGGUCCACAGGACCUUGCUCAGAAAGAACUAUGUUCUCAUUUAGGAGAGCUUUGAGGCAGUUGGGAAGCAUUGUUGGUAAGGAUGUUGAGGCUUGAGAAUGUAAUGCUUUUUUCUUUACUAUGGCCCACACUCAGCAAAUAAUUGCCUCUGGGAUAAAUCCCCGACCCAUGCCCACCCCGAUCAGGGAAACAUAGUGGGGAGUUCAGAAACGGACUCUUCAGUAGGCGGUGCCUGAGUCUCCUCAGAUGACCUGGUGCAUUGGGCUAAGCUGCUAAAUGCAUAGCCUGAAGUGGAUUUGAGUUGGUUCCUCUGCAUGGUUUGAAGGCUCCCUCGCCACCUUUCAGCACUUCUGAUGAGUCCCUAUUUUUAUUGUAAAAGUAUGACAACAAUAUUAAGAUGAAAAAAUGACCUCUUUUAUGUUUUUAUUUUCUACAUGUCAUUCCAGUCUUUGGUUCUGUGAAUACACAUCUUUACAUGGUUAUAAUCACGGCCCCUCCAGUUAAUUGGCUUGCCCACAGUUUUACUGUGAAGUAGAGCUGAGAUUUGAAGUCGGCUGGGCCCUCUACAUACAUGUUUCCUUCCCUUUGUGGGAUUGAGUAGAAGGUGCAAUAUUUAGGUAUGACCACAGGGUGGUGCCAAAAAUCAACACAUAGCUGCCCCCACCUCCAUUGGACUGAAAACCAAACCAAAAACCUAAGCCUGUAAUCUGGGAAUUUGGAUGAGGAUAUAGGGAGAUGGCUCAGGAGUCUAGAAGACCUGGCAAGUAUGGUGUGGAUGGGGACAGAAUUUACUUCAUGGUCUGGUGUAACCUGAAUCUGUAGACUUGAUGCCUGUUGAUAUAAUUGGUUUUUAAUAAAUUUUUGAUCCU
rnacentral:lncRNA from 1 species